GGGGGUUGUGAGGGGGUUGUCAGGGUAGCUGUCAGGGAGGGGGUUCUCUAAUGGUUUGUGUUUACAUCCAAGGGGUACUGUAUUGUAAUCACCUCUGUUCAGGGCCCUCUAAGGCCUCUACAUUUGGGUUUGAUAGGCUGUCAAACUCUCCUGCCAUUGUUGGGCUGAAGGGCUUUGACACCUCUCACUUCACACCUCAGUGCUAAUUGAAGUCGCAGUCAGAUCUGUUCUGUCAUAGCAAGCUGGGUAGCCUGAACUUAGCAUUCAGUCCUUAUCAAGUGAAAUAUAUCAUAGUCAUGUAUUUUUCUUCUUGGCUUUAAAAGUAGCUUCAGACUGAACAUGACUCACUCAGUUCCAGGUUGGAUGGUGUUUUCAGGUUCCAGGUUGGAUGGUGUUUCCAGGUUCCAGGUUGGAUGGUGUUUCCAGGUUCCAGGUUGGAUGGUGUUUCCAGGUUCCAGGUUGGAUGGUGUUUCCAGGUUCCAGGUUGGGUGGUGUUUUCAGGUUCCAGGUUGGGUGGUGUUUCCAGGUUGGGUGGUGUUUCCAGGUUCCAGGUUGGGUAGUGGUUCCAGGUUGGAUGGUGUUUCCAGGUUGGGUGGUGUUUCCAGGUUCCAGGUUGGGUGGUGGUUCCAGGAUGGAUGGUGUUUCCAGGUUCCAGGUUGGAUGGUGUUUCCAGGUUCCAGGUUGGAUGGUGUUUCCAGGUUAGAUGGUGUUUCCAGGUUCCAGGUUGGGUGGUGUUUCCAGGUUGGAUGGUGUUUCCAGGUUCCAGGUUGGAUGGUGUUUCCAGGUUCCAGGUUGGAUGGUGUUUCCAGGUUCCAGGUUGCAUGGUGUUUUCAGGUUCCAGGUUGGAUGGUGUUUUCAGGUUCCAGGUUGGAUGGUGUUUCCAGGUUCCAGGUUGGAUGGUGUUUCCAGGUUCCUGGUUGGAUGGUGUUUCCAGGUUCCAGGUUGGAUGGUGGUUCCAGGUUCCAGGUUGGAUGGUGGUUCCAGGUUCCAGGUUGGGUGGUGUUUCCAGGUUCCAGGUUGGGUGGUGGUUCCAGGUUGGAUGGUGUUUCCAGGUUGGAUGGUGUUUCCAGGUUCCAGGUUGGAUGGUGUUUCCAGGUUCCUGGUUGGAUGGUGUUUCCAGGUUCCAGGUUGGAUGGUGGUUCCAGGUUCCAGGUUGGAUGGUGUUUUCAGGUUCCAGGUUAGAUGGUGUUUCCAGGUUCCAGGUUGGAUGGUGUUUCCAGGUUCCAGGUUGGGUGGUGUUUCCAGGUUCCAGGUUGGGUGGUGUUUUCAGGUUCCAGGUUGGGUGGUGUUUUCAGGUUCCAGGUUGGGUGGUGUUUUCAGGUUCCAGUUUAGGUGGUGUUUUCACGUUCCAGGUUCGGGGGAUGUUUCCAGGUUCCAGGUUGGGUGGUGGUUCCAGGUUCCAGGUUGGAUGGUGUUUCCAGGUUCCAGGUUGGGUGGUGUUUCCAGGUUCCAGGUUGGGUGGUGGUUCCAGGUUGGAUGGUGGUUCCAGGUUGGAUGGUGGUUCCAGGUUCCAGGUUGGGUGGUGUUUCCAGGUUCCAGGUUGGGUGGUGUUUUCAGGUUCCAGGUUGGGUGGUGUUUCCAGGUUCCAGGUUGGGUGGUGUUUCCAGGUUCCAGGUUGGGUGGUGUUUUCAGGUUCCAGGUUGGAUGGUGUUUCCAGGUUCCAGGUUGGGUGGUGUUUUCAGGUUCCAGGUUGGGUGGUGUUUUCAGGUUCCAGGUUGGGUGGUGUUUCCAGGUUCCAGGUUGGGUGGUGUUUCCAGUUUGGGUGGUGUUUCCAGGUUCCAGGUUGGAUGGUGUUUCCAGGUUCCAGGUAGGAUGGUGUUUCCAGGUUCCAGGUUGGAUGGUGUUUCCAGGUUCCAGGUUGGGUGGUGUUUCCAGGUUGGGUGGUGUUUCCAGGUUCCAGGUUGGGUGGUGUUUUCAGGCUCCAGGUUGGGUGGUGUUUCCAGGUUCCAGGUUGGAUGGUGUUUCCAGGUUCCAGGUUGGAUGGUGUUUCCAGGUUCCAGGUAGGAUGGUGUUUCCAGGUUCCAGGUUGGAUGGUGUUUUCAGGUUCCAGGUUGGAUGAUGUUUUCAGGUUCCAGGUUGGGUGGUGUUUCCAGGUUCCAUGUAGGAGGGUGUUUCCAGGUUCCAGGUUGGAUGGUGUUUCCAGGUUGGGUGGUGUUUCCAGGUUCCAGGUUGGAUGGUGUUUCCAGGUUCCAGGUUGGAUGGUGUUUCCAGGUUCCAGGUAGGAUGGUGUUUUCAGGUUCCAGGUUGGAUGAUGUUUUCAGGUUCCAGGUUGGAUGGUGUUUCCAGGUUGGGUGGUGUUUCCAGGUUCCAGGUUGGGUGGUGUUUCCAGGUUCCAGGUUGGGUGGUGUUUCCAGGUUCCAGGUUGGGUGGUGGUUCCAGGUUGGGUGGUGUUUCCAGGUUCCAGGUUGGGUGGUGGUUCCAGGUUGGAUGGUGUUUCUAGGUUCCAGGUUGGGUGGUGGUUCCAGGUUCCAGGUUGGGUGGUGGUUCCAGGUUGGAUGGUGUUUCCAGGUUCCAGGUUGGGUGGUGUUUCCAGGUUCCAGGUUGGAUGGUGUUUUCAG
rnacentral:lncRNA from 1 species